CACAGGAUGGAGUUACGAUGAUCUUCUACCAUAUUUUAUUAAAUCGGAAGACAAUGGUAAUAUUGGUAAUCUAACAAGCACUGAGUAUCACGGAGUUGGGGGUCCGUUGAGAGUUGAAAGGUUUCCUUAUGCACCCCCCAUAGCUCAAGACAUUCUUGCAGCUGCCAGAUCUGCUGGUUAUGCAACUCCAAGCGACCUUAACGCAGAUGUUCUCGAAGGAUUUGUACUUACGCAACAUAUGAAUAAAAAUGGUACUCGGGACAGCACAGCUCGAGCUUAUCUUCGUUCGGCAAGAGCCCGAUCAAACCUUCAUAUAAUGUUGAACUCCACAGCUACAA